rnacentral:misc_RNA from 1 species
GAUGAAGAACGCAGCGAAAUGCGAUACGUAAUGUGAAUUGCAGAAUUCAGUGAAUCAUCGAGUCUUUGAACGCACAUUGCGCCCCCUGGUAUUCCGGGGGGCAUGCCUGUCCGAGCGUCAUUGCUGCCCUCAAGCACGGCUUGUGUGUUGGGCCUCCGUCCUCCUCCCGGGGGACGGGCCCGAAAGGCAGCGGCGGCACCGCGUCCGGUCCUCGAGCGUAUGGGGCUUCGUCACCCGCUCUUGUAGGCCCGGCCGGCGCUUGCCGACACAUCAAUCUUCUUUCCAGGUUGACCUCGGAUCAGGUAGGGAUACCCGCUGAACUUAAGCAUAUCAAUAAGCGGAGGA